GAAAAACAAGUCUAGUGGUGUAGAAAACAAACAGUUGUAUUAACAUAACUUUCGGGAAUUGAAAAAGCAUUUAACGAUUCGAGCCUACACUCUUCCACAGAAAAGAACACAGAAAGAAACAAGGAGAGAAAAUAUGUGUGUAGUGGCUAGCGAUCUAAAAAGUGGUAUCAUCUGUAUUG